AUGGAAGAACUUUCUGGUGGCAUUGUCCAAAUUGUGCUGAAUUUAAAUGAAGGGAAAGGAUUUGAAGCCUUUAAACAACCAAUUUAUGUGACUGCAAGUUUAAAUGGCCACAAGCUAAACUCUGACGCCAUUAAUCCUUCCUCAAAUCCCUAUUUUGGAACUGAUUUGGUUUGGGAAGCUGAAAAGAAGACUGUCAAACGAUUAAGAACAAUAAACACAAUCAUUAAAUUGGAAUUUUUCUGUGGUGUCAAUGGCAAUGAUCAAGAUCGAAUUGGAUUCAUUCUCUGUCACUUGAAAUCAGCUCAAAUCAUCAGCCCAAGAAAUAAUCACAAAUUAGUCGAAUCCUGGCAAAAAAUACUUGGAUUAAAAACAAGAAGUAAAAUCAGCCGUCCUGAAGUCUUGCUUUCUCUUCGCAUUGAAGAAUUAAGUGAUGCUGAAAUUACAGGAGUACCAACCAAUUAUAACACAGAACCACUACAGCAAAGCUCUUCCCGUUCUGAGUUCAAAAAUGUUCCAAAACCUGUGUAUAAUGACAUUCAUAGCCCAGGUGAAAAACCAUAUGUUCAAAUAGGUCCUCUUCACCAAACUCCGGAGAUGUUCCAUUUUACUGUGAUCAUAGGGCCUGCUCAAAAUUUGUUCAAGAAUUUUUCCGAAAUGCUCAUCAGCUCCACCAGUAAUUGUAUUCAUUUGCAUAUUCUAUUUUGGAGAGUAUGUGACGUUAUCUCCCAUUUCAGAAGAUAG
rnacentral:lncRNA from 1 species